CUAUUUCUCACUAGAGCUUGAUUGGAUUUUUUAUACAAUGGGAUGGUUAUUUUAUGAUUGUAUUCGUAUCCAAAUCCAUACAUUAACUUGCUAAUCACAGCUUAUUUACAGAUCACAUGUCAAAAACCAAAAACCUAUCUUCACUCCGCAGGCCCAAAAAGGAAAAUGUCAAGCCAAAUUGAGGGGAAAAAAAAUAAAAAGUAAAAACCCUAAUUUUAAUUAUAAUUACAAUUAGUAUAAACCUUUCUACAAUGACGUUUGAUUGUCAGAGUCUCCCCCGCCAGCGUUGCUAUUACAAACGGUGUCGCCUUGCCAUGUCCAGACAAUGUCUUUCAAUGCAGGCCUAACAUCUUCGUCGCAGAACUUGGCAUACUCCAAAGUAUCGCCGGCCGACUUGGAAAAUUCCACGACGGCGACCUCUGGAGCUACCUCGAACACCUCGGCUGUGACAGAUAGCCGCCCUUUCCUUCCCUCCGACGGGCUUUGCAAUCUCAUUUUGAAAUCUUUGACCUUUGCUACCUUAUAAUUCAACCCGUUUGCAAUCCCUUCAAUCUUGUUCAUGAUUGCAUUUGCCGAGAAUUUGGAGGUGAACAUAGACCCUGUUUUCCUCUUGUUCUCGAAUAGACUCGACAAAUCAAACCCAGAAGACAUCGAGGAAAUGAACUCGAAAGCGUUAAAGAAUUUUGGGGAGGAAACUUUAGUCAUCACUGCAGAUAAAGAUUCGUCUUCCUCCUCUGUUUUAUCUGGGUUUGAUAUUUCUCUGACGGAGAAAGCUAAUGGUCUUGUAAAUCCCUUUCGAAACCAAGGAACUCGCAUUAUCGCUGGUAUGGUGAUUCUUCUUUCUGGGUCAGCAACCAGAAGUCUGGAAAUCAAGCGCUUAGCUUCGGUGGAAAACCAUGGUGGACAUUCAAAUUCUGCUUUGAAAAUUUUUCUAUACAUCUUCAUGACAUUCUCAUCUUGAAAUGGCAAGAAUCCAGCCAGGAGAACAUAAAGGAUUACCCCACAUGACCAUAUAUCGGCUUUGGAUCCGUCGUAUCCCUUCUUUCUCAGAACCUCCGGCGCCACAUACGCUGGAGUCCCGCACUGCGUAUGGAGGAGCCCAUCGUUGAGUAAUUGUUCCGGCAAGGCUGAUAGCCCAAAAUCAGAGAUUUUGAGGUCUCCAUUUUCAUCUAAUAACAGAUUCUCUGGCUUCAAGUCUCGGUGAGAAACGCCUCUGCUAUGGCAGAAAUCGACCGCACUGAUUAGCUGUUGAAAGUACUUGCGAGCGGCAUCUUCUUUGAGCUUCCCUUUUGCUACCUUAGCGAAGAGCUCGCCGCCGCGGACAUACUCCAUAACAAAGAAGAUCUUGGUUUUUGUAGCCAACACUUCUUUGAGCUCCACUAUAUUUGGGUGUCGAACUAGUCGCAUAACGGAGAUUUCUCGCUUGAUCUGCUCCAUCAUCCCUUCCUUUUUGACUUGAUCUUUAUUGAUUACUUUGAUUGCUACGCUUUCUCCAGUUGCCAUGUUCUUGCCAUAGUAGACCUUGGCAAAAGUCCCCUUCCCCAACAACCUGCCCAUCUCGUACUUGUCAAACAGAACAUGUCUCUCUUCCAUAACUCAAAAAAUAAAAAUAAAAAUUUCUUCUUUCUUUCUUUCUUCAAUUUCAACUCAAAAGGUAAUAUGCAGGAAUAUCAGAAUAAAACGAUUCUUGCAUCAAUUUGGAAGCUGGGAGGCUCUAUUUACAGGAGUAGAUGAACAGUGUAAAGGGAUCCAGGAAAGAACAGCUGAUAUACUGAUUUGAAUGGAUUCCAUUAAAUGGGUUGAUUACUAAUGUGAGGUUUCAAAAGAAUUGUCAGAAGAAAGUGUGGAUUGCAACAGAUAUAGAAGAGGAGAAGGCAAAAAACUGUACUCUAGACAUUGGAGCACCUAGUAUUUUGCUUACAGGAAACCUUGGAAGAGCCGCAAGGGGCACACCG
rnacentral:misc_RNA from 1 species